rnacentral:rRNA from 1 species
UACGGGGGGGUGCGAGCGUUGUCCGGAAUCACUGGGCGUAAAGGGCGCGUAGGUGGCGUGAUAAGGGUGUGGUGAAAAGCCCGGGGCUCAACCCCCGGGUCUGCCAUGCCGACUGUCAGGCUAGAGUACUGUAGGGGCAGGCGGAAUUCCGGGUGUAGCGGUGGAAUGCGUAGAGAUCCGGAGGAAGACCGGUGGCGAAGGCGGCCUGCUGGGCAGUUACUGACACUGAGGCGCGACAGCGUGGGGAGCAAACAGG